rnacentral:rRNA from 1 species
AACGAACGCUGGCGGCAGGCCUAACACAUGCAAGUCGAGCGUGCCCUUCGGGGUGAGCGGCGGACGGGUGAGUAACGCGUGGGAACGUGCCCUUUUCUACGGAAUAGCCUCGGGAAACUGAGAGUAAUACCGUAUACGCCCUUUGGGGGAAAGAUUUAUCGGAAAAGGAUCGGCCCGCGUUGGAUUAGGUAGUUGGUGGGGUAAUGGCCUACCAAGCCGACGAUCCAUAGCUGGUUUGAGAGGAUGAUCAGCCACACUGGGACUGAGACACGGCCCAGACUCCUACGGGAGGCAGCAGUGGGGAAUCUUAGACAAUGGGGGCAACCCUGAUCUAGCCAUGCCGCGUGAGUGAUGAAGGCCUUAGGGUUGUAAAGCUCUUUCAGCUGGGAAGAUAAUGACGGUACCAGCAGAAGAAGCCCCGGCUAACUCCGUG